rnacentral:rRNA from 1 species
UACGUAGGCAGCGAGCGUUGUUCGGAGUUACUGGGCGUAAAGAGUGCGUAGGCGGUUUUCUAAGUUUGGUGUGAAAUCUCCCGGCUUAACUGGGAGGGUGCGCCGAAGACUGGAAGGCUUGAGUAUGGGAGAGGUAAGCGGAAUUCCUGGUGUAGCGGUGAAAUGCGUAGAUAUCUGGAGGAAUACCGGUGGCGAAGGCGGGUCUCUGGGCCGAUACUGACGCUGAGGAGCGAAAGCGUGGGGAGCGAACAGG